AGUGGUCAGUGCUCACUGGAGUCAGCAGAUGCCCAAAUGGGACAGGAAUGUCACGUUCAGGCUGGCUGAACUGAGACGUCUGUACAGCCCUGGGUAGGCAUGACCAUAGGGAACAAUGGAGAGCCUCGAUUCAUUCUGUACCUCAGAGACCCAGAGUCAGGUCUGACCUGGUAAAGCCACCAUGAGUCAAUGCAUUGACUGGCAAGAUCCUCAUUAGGACUGAAACGCUUGAGCCCCGACACCCCCAGCAUCACCGGAGGGGAACGAGCGAACAGCCAGAACAUCUAGUGCAGAUUAAAAUCAAGUGGCUGCAGCUCUGGCCUCCACCACCGACCCCGCUGUGAGGCACUGCUGUGAGGCACUGUGCAGGCCACGGAAGGAAGCGCCAGGUCUGCUCGUCACCUGGAAGCCCUCUCACCUCAGCUCCCUAAGCACUGCAAGGAAACUUCUGAGUGACAUCUAGAGGGGAAGGCACAGUUCGCUGCUUACCACAAAGCCUAAAACGCCCAGCACAGAAUGCCAAGAAAAGGCCCAGAAUUUUCUAAUCGUCUGGAACGAAGGUUCAAGCUACCAAAGGAGCAGCGUCACCCCUGCAGCCCUGCUGCUUUCCUGUCAAUGCCUUCUUGCUAAGAGCAGGCUGACCAGCACCACACAGACAGACAGACAGACUCUGAACCAGCAUGCACUUCCCAAGCUUGGGUCAGGCUUUGGUGAGGCUCUGUCUCACCACUUCCUCCAUGCUGCAAAAACAACACAAGCUAAAAUCUGCCAGCCGAGGGUGUUCUCGAGGUGGGCAUUUCCCCAUCCUUCCAACCGUGGGGCCACCAGGAGAGGUCAGAGCGGCAGAGGGGUGCUCCCAGAUGACUCUAGCCCCCUGUUCUGCAGUACUCUCACAGUCUCAGCCUUUGGCCCAUCAGAGACUCCCUGCAAACUGAUCCAUCGUACCUGAAAUCCCACAAGAAGUCAGUCCCACAUUCCUGAGGGACUUUCUGAUUGAUCCUGUACAGCAGUGAGACAGCCACUGGACCGCCUAAGUUUCAAGGUAAGGGACACAGAGGCCUUCUCUUAGGAAACCAUGUUACAUGCCCUUUUUGUUUGUUUUUCUGUGUAGCCUUGGCUGUCCUGGAUCUCACGCUGUAGACCAGGCUGACCUUGAACUCACAAAGAUCUGCCUGCCUCUGCCUCCUGAGUGCUGGGAUUAAAGUCAUGUGCCACCACCA